AAAUUAAGAUAAAUUAAGUAUUUUUAUAUAACUUUAUAUUUAAUAAUAUAUAUGUAUAUUUUAAAAUUAUAAUCUUUGAAAUAUUUUUAAUUUAUUUUUGGUUAAAAUAUAUUAAAUCAAAUUCGAUAAAAUUAAGAAAAAAUUUUGUUAGUUAUAUUACUAUCAAAACGUAAAACAAAUAAUAUUUCUAAAAUUUGUAAAUAUUAAAAAGUAACUAAUUGUAUUAAGAUUAGUAAAUUACAAUUUAAAAAAUGCAUAAAAUUAGGAAGAAUUGUUUUAUUAAUAAAAAUUAUAUAAUAAUUAAUAAUAUUUUGAAAAUUUUAAAAUUUUAAAAUUUAUUAUAUUUCUAUUUCUAUAUUUACUUUUAUAUUAUUUAUCGUAUAUUAAUGAUGAUUUAUAAUUUAUUACCAUAUUCUAAAAAUUAUCAAAAAUAUAAAUUAACAUUAAAUUUAAAUGUUUAUGUCACAAUUACUUUUACGUCAUUUCAUUAUUGUUAGUUUGUCAUGUCAUCAUCUUUUCAAAAUCAAUGUAUUGAGAUCACUUGGCAAAUCGUCUCUCAUAAAAAGUAUAGGGAAUAUCUCGUUUGUACAUAUAGUACAAGAAAAUUUAUGUAUAAGAAAUUUUAUGUGUAGAAUAACAUUCUUAAGAAUUUGUAAAUAAAUAUUAGAUUAGAUCAUUAAAUAUAAUUAUAAUUCUUUCAAUUAAAAUUUAAUGAAAAAUACAAAAUAUAAGUAUAAUUUACUCAAAAGAGACACAUAAAUAUAUUGGUUCGAUCUUGAAAAUAAAGUAUAACUAGGAUAGAAUCCGCGCUUUGAAAGAGCGUGAUUAUUUUUUGUUGACAAAUUUAUUAAUAUAUCACUAAUAUGUUUAGGUAUGGUGUAGGUUUUGAUUCGUUUCCAGAUUGUAUUUUUUUUGGUUUUUUGUUUGGUUCUCGUUUAGUUGUAACUUCUACUAUCAAAAAAAUAUAUGAAUUAUGAGUUUGGGUUUAGUUUAAGUUUAGUUAACAACAGUGUUUUUUUAGAAUAUCAGUAUAAUCAAAUAUAAAAUAUUAGAAAUAUUAAGUAACUUUAUAUAAAAUCUAGAUUUUAAUAGUUUAAUCCAGUUCAAUAAUUUUAAAAUACAAUCUGACUACAGUUCGUGGUUGAAUCCCAGCAUCGGGUCAAUCCGAUUUUUGAAACAUUGUCUUUUGAUGAUUGAGAAGCCUUUUGUCUCUUUUGGAUUUUUGGUUCUUCAGAAAACUCAGUUCUGGCCUCUCAAAGCACACAAUGCUCUUCUUGCUUUAAAAUGGGAAACAUGAUAAGCAGUGAGACGAACAACUUCAGCAACGACUUGAGCAGCUGCAACAGUUGCAAUAGCCACAAAGUAAAUAUGUCUGCUCUUUUCAUCCUCGAUCUUCUUUAAUUUGGUCUCUGGCACCACAAAAAGUAUUGUUAGGAAUCAGCUACACCAGAAUUGGUAACAUCCAACGUCCUGGACUUACCAAACCAUUUCUUAACCUUAUGGGGCUUAUAAUGAAAUGUAUAACAAAAACCCAUUGUCAGUUUUGAAUUCAUCAAAGGCGUGAUAAUCACAACACACUAUACUUGUUCUAAAAAAUAUAUGUGAUGAAGAUAGUCUAAUAACCAUA